rnacentral:rRNA from 1 species
AUUGAACGCUGGCGGCAGGCAGAAGACAUGCAAGUCGAACGAGUGGCGGACGGGUGAGUAAUGUCUGGGAAACUGCGCGAGGGAGGGGGAUAACUACUGGAAACGGUAGCUGAUACCGCAUACCAUCGGAUGUGCCGAGAUGGGUUUAGCUAGUGGGUGGGGUAAAGGCUCACCUAGGCGACGAUCCGUAGCUGGUCUGAGAGGAUGAACAGUCACACUGGAACGGAGACACGGUCCAGACUCCUACGGGAGGCAGCAGUGGGGAAUAUUGCACAAUGGGCGCAAGCCUGAUGCAGCCAUGCCGCGUGUAUGAAGAAGGCCUUCGGGUUGUAAAGUACUUUAAGCGGGGAGGCGUUACCAGCAGAAUAAGCACCGGCUAACUCCGUCCCAGCAGCCGCGGUAAUUC